UCCAGGAGAGAGCCAUGCGGCCUAUGGAUGCUAAGGUGUGGAGCAACCUGUUGUCCUCCUCCAACGUGAUGUCCGGAGCUUCCAGGAGAUCUAUAGAAACCAGGAUUACUACUGUUGUCAGAGAAUGACAGGGAUGUGGAAAAUACUUCAAGAACUGGGAAAACCAGCUUUGCAGGAGAAGAAUAUUCACAAGGGGAACAAAAAGUAACAUAUAGUGGAAAAGGAAAGAAAUUUCUGUUAUCCCCCGUGCAUCAGGAUGCUGUUGGAAACUGUCAAUAUUUUUUUUUCAAAUAUAUACUUCUAUCCAAAGGUAACUGUAAUUAAAAGUCAACGAACAAACCC